rnacentral:pre_miRNA from 1 species
CGACGACGAUGAUGAUGAUGAUGAUGAUGAUGAUGAUGAUGAUAAUCAUCAUCAUGAUUAUCAUCAUCAUCAUUAUAAUCAUCAUCAUCAUCAUCA